UGCGGGAAACCCCUAAAGCUCACGCUACUAAGCGGACUCCGAAAGGUGCUCCGUGGCCAGGUUAACUGCCUCGGGUAUAGUCACAGCGCGUGAGAUGUAACAAUGGGCGAUCCGCAGCCAACAGCCUUACCCUGAUUAUCGAUCAGGCUGGUUGGGGUUCACAGACUAGACGGUAGUGGGUGCAGCAUGCGGUUGCUGUGCUUAAGAUAUAGUCGAUCCCCUCGUGAGAGCGAGGGACCCGUGGUAGCGGCCAGCAGCUACCACGCACGAAAAGUUCCGUAGGUGAACCUGCGGAAGGAUCAUU
rnacentral:rRNA from 1 species